rfam:Gossypium arboreum cultivar AKA8401 contig_34588_1, whole genome shotgun sequence.
AAUCUGUGGUGUAGGCACUUCCUUAGCAUUCUUUUGAAGCAUUCUCGUGCUUUGUACAUGGAUUCACCUUCAUAUUGUUCAAAAUUGGUGAUUUUUUGCCUAAGCU